GACGAACGCUGGCGGCGUGCUUAACACAUGCAAGUCGAACGGUGAACCAGGGCUUGCCCUGGGGAUCAGUGGCGAACGGGUGAGUAACACGUGGGCAACCUGCCCCUGACUCCGGGAUAACCCCUCGAAAGAGGUGCUAAUACCGGAUACGACCACUUCGGGCAUCCGAUGGUGGUGGAAAGAAUUUUGGUCAGGGAUGGACUCGCGGCCUAUCAGCUAGUUGGUGAGGUAACGGCUCACCAAGGCGACGACGGGUAGCCGGCCUGAGAGGGUGACCGGCCACACUGGGACUGGGACACGGCCCAGACUCCUACGGGAGGCAGCAGUGGGGAAUAUUGCACAAUGGGCGCAAGCCUGAUGCAGCAACGCCGCGUGAGGGACGACGGCCUUCGGGUUGUAAACCUCUUUUAGCAGGGAAGAAGCGAAAGUGACGGUACCUGCAGAAAAAGCACCGGCUAACUACGUGCCAGCAGCCGCCGUAAAAC
rnacentral:rRNA from 1 species